GACGAACCGUGCUAACGUUAUUCGGAAUCACUGGGCUUAAAGGGCGCGUAGGCGGGCGGUCAAGUCCGGGGUGAAAGCCCCCAGCUCAACUGGGGAAGUGCCUCGGAUACUGACCAUCUCGAGGGAGAUAGGGGCGUGCGGAACUUCCGGUGGAGCGGUGAAAUGCGUAGAUAUCGGAAGGAACACCGGUGGCGAAAGCGGCGCGCUGGAGUCUACUUCGUGACGCUGAGGCGCGAAAGCCAGGGGAGCGAACGGG
rnacentral:rRNA from 1 species